CAACUGUAUCAUUGGGAGAAUCCAUCCUCAACGUACAGGAUUCUGAAGACUAUCCACCUUCAAGAGCAGCAUCAUUUUCUAUAGUUUCAGAGUUAUCUGUCAAUGAUAGCGUUUCAGUCAAAUCAUGUAUGUCAUAUAGCCACA